rnacentral:rRNA from 1 species
GAUCCUGGCUCGGGACGAACGCUGGCGGCGUGCUUAACACAUGCAAGUCGAACGAAGAGUGAUGGAAGCUUGCUUCUAUCAAUCUUAGUGGCGAACGGGUGAGUAACGCGUAAUCAACCUGCCCUUCAGAGGGGGACAACAGUUGGAAACGACUGCUAAUACCGCAUACGAUCUAAUCUCGGCAUCGAGGAUAGAUGAAAGGUGGCCUCUACAUGUAAGCUAUCACUGAAGGAGGGG